AUUGAACGCUGGCGGCAGGCCUAACACAUGCAAGUCGAGCGAGCGGCGGACGGGUGAGUAAUGUCUGGGAAACUGCCUGAUGGAGGGGGAUAACUACUGGAAACGGUAGCUAAUACCGCAUACCAUCAGAUGUGCCCCGAUGGGAUUAGCUAGUAGGUGGGGUGACGGCUCACCUAGGCGACGAUGCCUAGCUGGUCUGCGAGGAUGACCAGCCACACUGGAACUGGGACACGGUCCAGACCCCGACGGGAGGCAGCGGUGGGGAUUGUGGCAAAAGGGGCGUGAGCCUGAGGCAGCCACGCCGCGGGUGCGAAGAAGGCCUUCGGGUUGUGAAGCACUUUCUGCGGGGAGGCGUUACCCGCAGAAGAAGCACCGGCUAACUCCGUGCCAGCAGCCGCGGUAAUUC
rnacentral:rRNA from 1 species